rnacentral:ribozyme from 14 species
AUAAAAAGAGAUAGACCAAUAAAAAAUACAAUAAAUAAAAUGGAACAUGUUCGGUAAUAUGAUUGUGAUGCGAUUGUGUAUCAUACUGCUUUUGCUUUUGCUUGGUACUAAUUGCGUUCUUCUUCUUGUCGCCGUUAUCAUAAAAGUCUACGGCAACACUUGUGGGAGAUAGGGAUGAUGUGUUG